UACGGAGGAUCCAAGCGUUAUCCGGAUUUAUUGGGUUUAAAGGGUGCGUAGGCGGCCUAUUAAGUCAGAGGUGAAAGACGGUAGCUCAACUAUCGCAGUGCCUUUGAUACUGAUGGGCUUGAAUGAACUAGAGGUAGGCGGAAUGAGACAAGUAGCGGUGAAAUGCUUAGAUAUGACAUAGAACACCAAUUGCGAAGGCAGCUUGCUACCCGAAUAUUGACACUGAGGCACGAAAGCGUGGGGAUCAAACAGG
rnacentral:rRNA from 1 species